ACGUUUAUGGUAAAAUAUGUCAGGAAAUCCGAGAAAACGGCCAAAUCAAAUUUAUAAUAUAUUUCCAAUCAAUAGCACAUCGUUCGUUACCGAGAUACGCUCAGCUUUUCUAGGUAGGCAACGAUAUAAUGAAGCACCGACCAAAUGCAUCGCUCAUCAACAUUAUAGUAUAGUUGGAUGUUCAUAACAUAAAAAAUAGCAUAAAGUUAUAGAUAUUUACUAAAUAGCUUAAUGUAAGGCCGCAAUAGGAAAAUAAUUUCCAGGACGGGGAGUUGUUAGUUAUAAA